rnacentral:rRNA from 1 species
GACAGAGGGUGCAAACGUUGUUCGGAAUUACUGGGCGUAAAGCGUGUGUAGGCGGUCCACUAAGUCGGGUGUGAAGGCCCUGGGCUCAACCCAGGAAGUGCACUCGAAACUGGCGGGCUAGAGUAUCGGAGAGGUUGGUGGAAUUCUCGGUGUAGAGGUGAAAUUCGUAGAUAUCGAGAGGAACACCGUGGCGAAGGCGGCCAACUGGACGAAUACUGACGCUGAGACACGAAGCGUGGGGAGCAAACAG